rnacentral:rRNA from 1 species
GACGAACCGUGCGAACGUUGUUCGGAAUCACUGGGCUUAAAGGGCGCGUAGGCGGGCCUGCAAGUCCGGGGUGAAAGCCUCCAGCCUAACUGGAGAAGAGCCUCGGAGACUGAGGGGCUCGAGGGAGGUAGGGGCAAGCGGAACUAUGGGUGGAGCGGUGAAAUGCAUUGAUAUCCAUAGGAACUCCGGUGGCGAAGGCGGCUUGCUGGACCUCUUCUGACGCUGAGGCGCGAAAGCCAGGGGAGCAAACGGG